CUGACCCCAUGCCGAACUCAGAAGUGAAACGCCGUAGCGCCGAUGGUAGUGUGGGGUCUCCCCAUGUGAGAGUAGGACACUGCCAGGC
rnacentral:rRNA from 1 species